rnacentral:tRNA from 6 species
GGUAGGAUGGCUGAGUAAGCGGUGGAUUGUAACCCCACAUACAGAGGUUUAAGCCCUCUUCAUACCA